rnacentral:rRNA from 1 species
AUACGGAGGGUGCAAGCGUUGUCCGGAAUUAUUGGGUGUAAAGGGUGUGUAGGCGGGAUCGUAAGUCAGGGGUGAAAGGUCACAGCUUAACUGUGACAUUGCCUUUGAUACUGCGGUCCUUGAGUGUCGGAGGGGCCACUAGAAUUCGUGGUGUAGCGGUGAAAUGCGUAGAUAUCACGAGGAAUACCAGAGGCGUAGGCGGGUGGCUGGACGACAACUGACGCUGAGGCACGAAAGCGUGGGGAGCGAACAGGAUUAGAUACCCUGGUAGUCCACGCCGUAAACGAUGGACGCUCGGUGUCGGGCCUUUUGGCUCGGUGCCUAAGCAAACGCGAUAAGCGUCCCACCUGGGGAGUACGCUCGCAAGAGUGAA